rnacentral:misc_RNA from 1 species
UCUCCGUUGGUGAACCAGCGGAGGGAUCAUUAUCGAGUUUAUAACUCCCAAACCCUAUGUGAACUUACCACUUGUUGCUUCGGCGCGCGCUUCGGCGCCGCCGAGGACACUUAAACUCUUUGUUUUUAUAAGCAUUUCUGAGUGGCCGAAAGGCAAAAUGCAAAUGAAUCAAAACUUUCAACAACGGAUCUCUUGGUUCUG